ensembl:snRNA
GUGUUGUAUGAAAGGAGAAAAGGUUAGCACUACCCUUGAUAAGGAUGGAAGAGGUCCUAGUGGCCUUUAUAACACACAUACGGUUAAGGCAUUGCCACCUACUCUGUGGCAUCUAACCAUGUUUUUGC